GACAAAGCACUUCAAAUCUUCCACCAGAUGAUCGACAUGAAAGUGAAGCCCGACGCUUUUCUAUACACCGUCGUCAUCGGACAUCUGUGCAAGAUCAACAAGUUAGACUUGGCGGCCUCCUACUUCGAACGAAUGGUACAAAGCGGCUGCUUACCCGACAAAGUCACGUACACCGUUCUCGUCCACAGCCUCUUCAAAGCUUGCAAGUGGGAACAAGGCCACCAGAUCUUCGAAGAGAUGUUGAGCAAAGGACACUCUCCCGAGCUGGUUAC
rnacentral:lncRNA from 1 species